rnacentral:rRNA from 1 species
GUCUACGGCCAUGCCACCCUGAACAAGCCCGAUCUGAUCUCGGAAGCUAAGCAGGUUCGGGCCUGGUUAGUACUUGGAUGAAAGACCACCUAGGAAUACUAGAUGCUGUAGGUG